UACGUAGGGUGCGAGCGUUGUCCGGAAUUACUGGGCGUAAAGAGCUCGUAGGUGGUUUGUCGCGUUGUCCGUGAAAACUCACAACUCAAUUGUGGGCGUGCGGGCGAUACGGGCAGACUGGAGUACUGCAGGGGAGACUGGAAUUCCUGGUGUAGCGGUGAAAUGCGCAGAUAUCAGGAGGAACACCGGUGGCGAAGGCGGUUCUCUGGGCCUUACCUGACGCUGAGGAGCGAAAGCGUGGGGAGCGAACAGG
rnacentral:rRNA from 1 species